rnacentral:miRNA from 1 species
GUUAUAGAUCUGGAUUGGAAC